rnacentral:rRNA from 1 species
GAUGAACGCUAGCGGGAGGCCUAACACAUGCAAGCCGAGCGGUAUUUGUUCUUCGGACCCGAGAGAGCGGCGCACGGGUGCGGAACACGUGUGCAACCUGCCUUUAUCUGGGGGAUAGCCUUUCGAAAGGAAGAUUAAUACCCCAUAAUAUAUUGAGUGGCAUCAUUUGAUAUUGAAAACUCCGGUGGAUAGAGAUGGGCACGCGCAAGAUUAGAUAGUUGGUGAGGUAACGGCUCACCAAGUCAAUGAUCUUUAGGGGGCCUGAGAGGGUGAUCCCCCACACUGGUACUGAGACACGGACCAGACUCCUACGGGAGGCAGCAGUGAGGAAUAUUGGACAAUGGGUUAGCGCCUGAUCCAGCCAUCCCGCGUGAAGGACGACGGCCCUAUGGGUUGUAAACUUCUUUUGUAUAGGGAUAAACCUACUCUCGUGAGAGUAGCUGAAGGUACUAGACGAAUAAGCACCGGCUAACUCCGUG